GGGAUAGAAUUCCAGAAGUAGCGGUGAAAUGCGUAGAUAUCUGGAGGAAUACCAAAGGCGAAGGCAGUCCCCUGGUCCGAUACUGACACUGAGGUACGAUAGCGUGGGGAGCAAACAGGAUUAGAUACCCUGGUAGUCCACGCCCUAAACGAUGUCGAUUAGCCAUUGGAAGGACCCCUUUUCCUUUCAGUGACGUAGCUAACGCGUUAAAUCGACCGCCUGGGAAGUACGACCGCAAGGUUAAAACUCAAAGGAAUUGACGGGGACCUGAACAAGCGGUGAAUGAUGUGGAUUAAUUCGAUGCUACGCGAAGAACCUUACCUACCUUUGACAUGGCCAAAGUUCUACCGAGAGGCGGAAGUACUCGUAAGAGGAUUGGCGCACAGGUGCUGCAUGGUUGUCGUCAGUUCGUGUCGUGAGAUGUUGGGUUCAGUCCCGCAACGAACGCAACCCUUAUCUUUAAUUGCUCCUAUUUUAACAGGCACUUUAAAGAAACUGCCAAUGAUAAGUUGGAGGAAGGUGGGGAUCACGUCAAGUCCGCAUGGCCUUUAUAGGUAGGGCUUCACACGUCAUACAAUGGUUAGAACAAAGAGCUGCAAAUUCGUAAGAAGGAGCCAAUCUCACAAACCUAACCUCAGUUCGAAUUGCGGUCUGCAACUCGAGCGCAUGAAGCCGGAAUCGCUAGUAAUCGUGGAUCAGAAUGCCACGGUGAAUACGUUCUUAGGUCUU
rnacentral:rRNA from 1 species